GUUCUCUGGUACCUGGGCCUGUUGAAAGGUUUUCCAGGAGAGAGUCAAACCGACCCUCAGAGGGUUAAGGGGGAGAAAGACAUUAACCUGAGCUGGGUUAAUGAUUGAGUCAAAAGGGAUGACACCUCAAGUUGAGUUAUAUGGGGAUUAUUCCCUCCUGAUGUUUGUCCUUGGUUUAGGACUGUUUUUUGUAGGUGCUGUUUUAGGCAUUGUCCUUAGAACAGUGCGAAAGGAAAGAUUAGGCUAUUCAAAAAUGUACCAGUGAAGUGAUAAGAUCUUUUCAAGAGUCAAUGAAGGCAUUACAGGAGCAAUUAGAAAAAGAACGCUUGCAGUUAACUGCUGAGCGUGAGGCACUGUAGAAAGA